GUCUAGGGCCAUUCCACCUUGAACGGGCUCCAUCUCUGAUCUCGGAAGCUAAGCAGGGGCGGGGUUGGUUAAUACCUGGGAUGGGAGAUCAGAGUCUGGUUGGCUGAUG
rnacentral:rRNA from 1 species